rnacentral:lncRNA from 1 species
UUUUUCAAGACAGGGUUUCUCUGUAUAGCCCUGGCUGUCCUGGAACUCACUCUGUAGACCAGGCUGGCCUCAAACUCAGAAAUCUGCCUGUCUCUGCCUCCCAAGUGCUGGGAUUAAAGGCGUGCGCCACCACCGCCCGGCAAGAAUUUGUAUCUUUAACUAGAUCUUAGAAAUAUCAGCAUGACAAAUAUCCCAUAUGGACAUGAGAAGAAAGACUGCCUCCCUCGCUUCUACCUCUUUAACCACAGGUUCAGAAAGAAAAAGGUAUUUUGUUAGAGACACAUUAAUUUUUUUAAAUUGAUGUCGUUUGAGGCUGAAUAGUCCUAGCAGAACUAGGAGAAAAAGAAGUUGAAACAAACUAGGCAGUUUCUAUUGACUUGUCCGAUUCUCAUUUUGAACAGUCACACCUUGGAACAUUGCACUGGACACAGAGUCUUUGACACACAAACCUGCAGGGGACAUUUUACAUCCAAACCGUAACAAGUCUAUCAAGAAAUCUAGGUUAACUCCACUUGACCGUAGCCUUUGAAAUGAGUUUUACAUGGCUUUAUGGUUCAUUAACUUGCACAUACCUUAGGGGAACCAGCUGGUUUAUUAAGCUCCAAUUCCUUCCCUUCCAACUUAACCAAUUGUCCAUAUAGUCCAUUAGCCACUUUUAAUACUGAAGUAUUUAUCAAAAUAUAUCUGGCUUCAGGGCCCAUGAGUUAAGAAUAAGGAGAAACCCCCAGAGAGGGACUGGAGGGAGAAAGGGGACAGUGAUAUAAUUAUACCUUAAUUUCAAUAGAAGAAAGUUUUAUAUGACUUUCAAAAAAGGGAGGGAUGUAAGGCUAUAAAGAUAUAGGUGUGUUUAUUUGAAUAAACUGUCAACAAUGUUUAUGGCUUGAAACACUGGCCGUCACCCAUCGGUUGUGAGCGCAUUGCUUGCAUAGCUACUGACAUUGCUCGCAUAGCUACUGACGAGUGGAGGAAUUGAGCACCACCAUCAACAAGAAGAAACCAGUUUUAAUUAUGCGGGAAUGAAAGCUUUCCAUGACCAAAGGCACAGGACAGAACGUGAAGACAUUUCCUAAAAGAAAGGGUUGGUUGGGAAGAGUACAGAGAGAGGGGGAUUUUUAUUUUCGCUUUAUACCAUUUUAUAAUAUCCAAAUUGGUUUUAAACUAUGGAUAUAGAAUCAAGCUGUAAAAUAAGUGUUAACAUGCUAAAAAAUAAAUAAAUAAAUGCACAGAGGAGACGAUAAGAAGGGGAAAGAAACAGAUAUUUAUGUUUUCCACAAUGCCAUAUUAAGAAUCCAUGUCUAGAAUGUUGUCCUGUGGUUUUAUUAUAUACUCUUUUUUUUUUUAAAUAAAGCACAUUUUUAUAAUAAGAAAGGGAACUCCAUGUACUUUAAGAUUCAUACCACCUGCACCCUGAUAUGUCUCUAAGGCUUGCUUAUUUCUUAAAAAAAUAUAUUUUCUGUGUCUG